rnacentral:rRNA from 1 species
GCACCAGAAGUGGUUAGCCUAACGCAAGAGGGCGAUCACCACGGUGUGGUUCAUGACUGGGGUGAAGUCGUAACAAGGUAGCCGUAGGGGAACCUGCGGCUGGAUCACCUCCUUAAU